UUUGAAUUAUUAGGUUGGUGCAAAAGUAAUUGUGGUUUUUGCCAUUGAAAGUAAUGGCGAAAUACUACCGUUGUUGCAGUUAAUACUAUGCUAUACUGCUUCCCACCACACCUUCU
rnacentral:miRNA from 1 species